rnacentral:rRNA from 1 species
AAGAACUAACAAGGAUUCCCUCAGUAACGGCGAGUGAAGAGGGAAGAGCUCAGUUUUGGAAUCUGGCAGUGAUUCACUGUCCGAGUUGUAAAUUGAAGAGAAUGUCAUCCACGCUGGACCAUGUCUAAAUUGUAAUGAUCCACAGUCCUUUGAUGGAGUAUCAGAGAGGGUAAUAAUCCCGUCUUUAACAUGGACUACCAGUGUUUCUGUGAUGCACUCUCUCAGAGUCGAGUAGUUUGGGAAUGCUGCUCUAAUGGGAGGUAAACUCCUUCUAAAGCUAAAUAUUGGCGAGAGACCGAUAGCGAACAAGUACCGUGAGGGAAAGAUGAAAAGAACUCUGGAAAGAGAGUCAAAUAGAACGUGAAAUUGCUGAAAGGGAAGCAUUUGGAGUCAGAUGCAUCUUCAUGCCAUACCACUCAGUGGCAGAGUCUGAGAGUGGUUACUUGGAGAUGGGCCAGCACUCACGAAGACCAUUGAAGAAAGGGUCAUGGAAUGUAGCUCAGUCUUGAGUGAUUAUAGCCUUGAUUCAGACGCAAUGUGUCUUUGUGAGAUUGACAGCACGAACUUGCA